UGUUCGCGCAACGAUCCGAUGCGUGCAUAAUGAUUGUAUGACUUAUACAAACAGGAGAGCACCACAACCCCAAAGCUCCUUGUGACUGUAUAACUAUGCGAUUAUCGAACCAGAGAUCAAUCGCAAUCGCAAUCGCAAAUCGACGGAGAUGGUCAAAAUCGCGGAUUCGAGCAGAUUUCACGGCCUAUUCGUACGGUCGUCGGAGGAAUUUUGGCGCGAACAUAUCCAUGGCGGUUUCGCCACUCUCGUCGCCGUGCUCUUCGUCUUUGCUUGCCACUGUGCCAAGAGGUUCUUCUUUGGAAAACCCUCUGGCUCCAGUGCUUCUCCGGUCGGUCUUUCGGAUUCUGAUCUCCCCACUUCUGGGUCUCGGAUUCCGCCGCACAGCACCCUGGAACUGGUGACAGAUGCAGAUUUGAAGUUUCUGAUUGAUAACUUGGAGGAGAAAAUGGGCGAAAAUGAGAAAUGGGAAAAGGUCAUAGACAAAAGAAAUGAUAUUCUAUCCUACUAUGCGAAGUGCUGCAAGCCUAAGGAUAGUUCUUUGACAUACUUGAGCGUGACGAUAUUUGAGAAUUGCUCUCCUGAGAAGCUGAGAGACUUCUACAUGGACAAUGAUUACAGGAAGCAAUGGGAUAAGAUGCUGAUUCAGCAUGAACAGUUGCAGAUGGACAAAAACAAGGGGGUUGAAGUUGGUCGGACAAUAAAAUAGUUUCCACUGUUGACAGCCAGAGAAUAUGUAUUAGCUUGGAGAUUGUGGGAGGGGAAAGAUAACACCUUUUAUUGUUAUAUCAAGGAAUGUGAACAUCCUUUGGCACCACCCCAGAAGAAGUAUGUGCGUGUUAGUACUUUCAGAUCUGGUUGGCGAAUCCAAAAAGUGCCUGAUACUAAUGCCUGUGAGAUCAAGAUGUUUCAUCAAGAAGAUGCUGGUUUAAAUGUGGAGAUGGCAAAAUUGGCUUUUUCUAGGGGCAUAUGGAGCUAUGUGUGCAAGAUGGGCAGUGCACUUAACAGAUACGCUACAAUCAGCUCUCAUCAAUCAAGGGCUGCUGCUUCUGCUGUCACGUUGAUUAAAAAGGUCCCCCCUGGAUUAGAAGCCACGGAUGACAUGACCUCUCAAGCAACCUCAGUAGGAACUUCUGUUCGCAGACCAAUUGCGGGCGAGGGAAGGAAAUUGUCAAUAAGACCUUCAAAGAAAUUGUUAGCCAAUGGCCUGCUGCUUCUUGGGGGAGUGGUCUUCCUGUCUCGUGGUCACUCUAGCCUGGGCGCGAAGGUUGCCAUGGCUUACAUCUUAACGAAGUGGAGUAAGCGUGGCGCUUCAUCAAGUCAAAGCAGUGAAAUUUGAGGGGCAUGAUCUUCUUGCCAUCACAACUAAUUUUGGAGGGCGGAGUAAUGUUUUCUUAUCUACAUUAUUUCUAGGCCAUCUACCAUGGAGACCAACUACUAUGCUCUACUUCUGCAAAAAAAUGAGAAACGGAAGAAGAGUGGAGAGUAGUAACUUAAUUGUACAUCAUGCCUAAUAUCUGCUAUCCUUUUACCACAUUUACCUGAUGGCUAGCAAUACAAUGAUCAAUGGGAAAGGCUUAUUGGUUCUGAAUCUCCGACGCACCUUGUAUAUCCCAGUCCCAGCAACUAGUCAUUAUAUGACCCCUUGCGGGUUACAGAGUUUAUAACGUUGUCCGGCUGCAGUCGGGUAGAAGAUUUCACUGCUCUUGCAUGAAAACUCAGACCUAUCUGCAAUAAACUCAAAGCUGCUUUUGAAGUUCUUGGAACUGUUGGAAAGGGUAAGGUAUUUGUACUUUAGAUGGUUGUAUAUGUAUGUGACCAUUAUACUUGCAUCCUUCAUUUUCCCCAUUAGUUAUGACCCUGAGAUGUGUUGAUAUCCUAGUAAAGUCAAAUUUCUGCAGACAAUGUUUUGAUCUAAGAUUUCGAUUUUUCCAUGUUUCAGUAGUAGUUAAGGAAUGGGUGUUUUCACGACUUUCCCGCCCUGUCAAUUAUGUUCCACUUAAUCCCUGUUAUUAAGUUUCAUGGUCACAUA